rnacentral:rRNA from 1 species
UCCGUAGGCGGGCGUCUAAGUCAGUGGUGAAAUCUUACAGCUCAACUGUAAAAUUGCCAUUGAUACUGGAUGUCUUGAAUUAGUGUGAAGUGGUUAGAAUGUGUAGUGUAGCGGUGAAAUGCAUAGAUAUUACACAGAAUACCAAUUGCGAAGGCAGAUCACUAACACUAUAUUGACGCUGAGGGACGAAAGCGUGGGGAGCGAACAGGAUUAGAUACCCUGGUAGUC